UUAACAUACAGCUGGUGGGCCAGGAGAGAGUGAAAACAAAGCCACUGGAUAGUGAGAGGAUAGAGGGUGCUCCACAGACGCGAACUGCAUCUUUAUGUUUACAUAGAAGGGAGAGUGAAGGAGCAAAUGUGGGCAACAGCUGUCAGUGACACAUCAUUACCCCAACAGCCAGAAACAAGAUAAGCGCCUUGCAGGGGCCCUUAACUGACUGCUGGGUUCGAUGGUUCAAAGAGAAAAAGCACGUGAUAACUUUGAAGGAGGCUGCCUGGCUGAGCUGAUCGGAUCACCUAGAGACUGGAAAUGCUUUCUGGCAGUGCCUGAUCCUCUACUGGGUGUUCAACACUGGCUGCAUUUAUGGAGACCACAGACAAAAGAUGGAAACAGCCUCCACCGGCAUGGGGAUCAGGCAUGGGGCAAACACAGGAGACAAAACAGGAGAAUCUCCCGAGAACACCCUCUGAUCAGCACUCUGCAUGCAAUUUCCAUCUCAGACUCUGUUUCUAGGAAGACUUUCAGGCAGCUGACACUGGACGUGGUUGUGAGUUGCAGGCCCUAAUGAAAAAUUGGAGAGGAAGCAGGUGGCCGGCUGAUGAAAUGAUAACCAGAAGGCCUGUGGGCUUGGGUGGCUGAGGCUGAGGCUACUGAGUGUUGAAGAGAGAGAGGCAGAGGCGCAGGAUGACUCAUCACUGGUUUCAGGCAAACUGUGAAAGCCAGAGCACUUCCUUGGCAGCAUUUAAGAAAACCCCGAUGAUCUGCAGCUGGAAGGCAGGUUGGCUGGAGGACCAGUCUGAACCCUGAGUAGGUUAAGUUCUCAGUCCUUCAGACACAGGGCUCUAAUGGGAAAGAGGUGAGACCCUUACACUUAGGGUGGGAGCCCUGGACAGUUGGGAACCCUGAACACUUACAUGCCCCUGAGUCCCCUGGGCCUGCAGAAAUGGCCUAUUUCUCAUGUCAUGUAGAAGAUUGUAGACUGCUUGAACCUGGGAGGCGGAGCUUGCAGUGAGCCCAGAUUGCACCAUUGCACUCCAGCCUGGGCAACAGAGCGAGACUCGGUCAAAAAAAAAAAAAAAAAAAAGCAAGACUUUCCUUUUCUGAAGAUCAUACAGAGGUCUCAAAUGAGUCUGAAGUCACCUGCCCUAUCUGGACAUUCCAUAGACUACCACUUUUACCCACGACUUCGAUGUGGCAUGCUCAUUGGACCAGAUAAGCAAGCAGUGGCAAGUGGAUUGGAGGUCUUGGUAACCAGUUCAACCAAAAUCCUGGGACAGCUGUUCCCUGAUGCGGCACACUUCCUAGAAGAAGCAAGUGAAUUUAAAGCAGAGUGAACUGUAGAGGAGUUCACGACCAAAUCUCUGAUGCUUUCCCCAGAUCUUUCUUCAGGGCCAACACAUCCAUUGCUCAGCUGUGAUAGACAGCAGUCAGGGGUGGCUCACCUCUCUCACUGGGAAUUGCUCUCAGCAGUAGGGAACUCAUUCAGGGUUAAGGCAUCUCCUUGAGGAGGCCCAUGUUCAAUUACUGGUUGACACAGGAAUAUGAAGGCCUGGCCCUCGUCUCAGCUUGGAAUAAAUCUGAAGGCCCAUCACAGCUUCAGAGAUGCUUGGAGAAGGCUGAGGUCUCCCCUGUAACCUUAUGAGAACCUUGAGUUGUUGAACUCAUUAAUUCUUUGGGACCAUCUUCCUGAUGUUCAAGUUUGUGAAACAGGCUUUCCCUUUAAGAUUUGUUUUCCUCAAAAUACAAGACUAUUGAUGCUUCAGUUUUGAAGUGGAUUCUGCACUCAAGAAAUGUACCAUUGAAGAAUGGGACUGGUAGGAAGGGAAAAAAACUAAAAGGAAACGCAUUUUCGAGUUGCACAUCAUGAUCAGGCACAGAGUCCAGAUACACUUGGAGUAGCAAGCAUCCAUCCUUGUGGAGACGCACAUGAACCAGGACUCUCUGCACCCACCCCUCUCAAGUUUUAUUUUCCGACGGCUGUAAUGUUCCAGGACACCUGCCAUCAUGGAGGGUUAUCCAGCACCUGGAGGAUACCUGCUACCUGGUGAAGGACUUUAGUACGAUGGUCAAGACAAGAACCGUGGAGUCAGAAUGCCUGCAUGCAGAUCUCAUCACCAUGGGAUUCAAGUCUGGCUUGUCUGGGGCCAAGCUGAGUU
rnacentral:lncRNA from 1 species